rnacentral:rRNA from 1 species
UACGUAGGUGGCAAGCGUUGUCCGGAUUUAUUGGGUUUAAAGGGUGCGUAGGCGGCUUUGUAAGUCAGUGGUGAAAUACUCUAGCUUAACUAGAGGGGUGCCAUUGAUACUGCGGAGCUUGAGUACAGAUGAGGUGGGCGGAAUUGACGGUGUAGCGGUGAAAUGCAUAGAUAUCGUCAAGAACACCGAUAGCGAAGGCAGCUUACUGGGCUGUAACUGACGCUGAUGCACGAAAGUGUGGGGAGCAAACAGG